CCUUCUUCGCUCGUGAAAAGUCAGGGCCUUUCUUCAUCUCCAUCCACGACCGAGUGGGGAAGCAAUGAAAGCUGUAAGCAAAGCAAAGAGUGAAUCUGAACAUGUAGGGAGAACGAGCUAGGGUUUGGUUUCACGUUUCUUCUUCCUCUUUUUGUAGGAGCACUCGCUCGCGCACAAUAAUAGAGACGAUUCACACUUUCACAUCGGUGAAGCAGCCUUGGAAGAAAUAGAUUGUUGCUUCUUGAGAUCGGUUGUGCCAGAUUCCGUACGCGAGGUGA
rnacentral:sRNA from 1 species